rnacentral:rRNA from 1 species
UAACACGGAGGGUGCGAGCGUUACCCGGAUUUACUGGGCGUAAAGGGCGUGUAGGCGGCCCGUUAAGUCCGGUGUCAAAGCCCACGGCUCAACCGUGGAAAGGCGCCGGAUACUGGCGGGCUAGACGGACGGAGGGGGUAGCGGAAUUCCCGGAGUAGCGGUGAAAUGCGUAGAUACCGGGAGGAACGCCGAUAGCGAAGGCAGCUACCUGGACGUCCCGUGACGCUGAGGCGCGAAAGCGUGGGGAGCAAACCGGAUUAGAUACCCGGGUAGCCCACGCCCUAAACGAUGAGUGCUGGGUGUCGGGCUUUGGCUCGGCGCCGUAGCUAACGCGUUAAGCACUCCGCCUGGGGAGUACGGCCGCAAGGCUG